CUUACACUGCACAGCCAAAGAAAACCAAUUCUCUCUUCACUACGUUCUGGUUGAACAACUCCGAAGUAGCAGAAGUGGACACACUCUGCUAUUGUUCUCCACUGCUGCAGGAGCCAAAAUCUCUCCUCAUCCGCUGGAGGCAGAGCUGGGCAAACAACAAUUUGCACACUGCAUGGAAAGUGAUGCCAGGAACAUAGCAGAGGAAGAUGUCCUCAGGGUUUUCAAUUUGUAUGGGCUGUUAGCGGUUGAGACAACUGAGAAUUUUCUAUAGAAAUAGCUUUUGUUGGGUUGUUGUUUUUUUUUUUGUUUGUUUGUUUUUGGAAAAUGCUGAUUUAUUGAAUGGGGAGGGUAUGAGGAGCACUGCUGAAGGCCAGAGUUUGGGCUGGAAACGCACAGAGUUCUGCUUUGGGAACUGCUGCUGAUGUCCACCCCAUGCAGAUGAGCGAUGACUUCUGGCCUCCCCCAGCGAGCGCCCUGGGACCAUUUCUGCAGCGCAGACUGGAGCUCAGUUUACCAGGAAAUCCACGUUUGCAAUUUCUUCUCUCAGGUGGAUGGCCAGGGAGAGUCGCUGCUUCCUUGAACAGAGUUCGGAACAGGAAAUUGAGAAAAAGAAACCAACACAGCACACAGCUUGUCCAAGAGAAGGAGCUGACUGCUGGCUUUGCAGGCACUAUUUUUACGCCCAAAGGGUAUUUCCAAGCUCCCAAGGCUUAGUAAUAGAACAGAUCCCAGGGAGAUGUUGGGGAAGGGCUCUGCUGAUGAAAAGAGGUUUCUUCCUGUUUGCUCCCUGCUGGUGGGACGUCUGCCAAGCACAGUCAAUGCUGAGGAACACCUGCAUCCAUCUAAUAACGUGGGCUGAGGAAAAAUCAUGAGAUAAUCGAUAGGAAACCAGAUAGCGCUGAAUGACAGAAGCCUGGAGAGUACAGGGAGAGACGAGCCUUACUUUGUGCAAUUCACCACCUGAAUAAGGAACAGAUUAAGGGACACGGCGGGAGGAUCUUGCGACUGUCCCACACCACCUGAAACUCUCCUCACCCUGUGAGGAUGAAGCAGUGAGGGAUGGAUGCAGACAGAAGCAGCAGCUGCGUGUAGAGCCAACUGGAGCACACAUCGCUCUGCUGCACCCCCAAUGGCAAAGGCAGCGAGGGAAAAAGCCUUCAGCAUCUCCUCCUACUUCAGCCACAGUCUGUGCACCAGACUCUGCAGCUUUUCCAUGAGUGGUGCUUUCCCAUCAAUCUCAUCCUGAGGAGAGCAGAACUAAAAAUCUUUUUUUCCACCCAGGCCUCUGAGCACAAUUGCUGAAACCUG
ensembl:lncRNA